UACGUAGGGAGCAAGCGUUAUCCGGAUUUAUUGGGUGUAAAGCGUGUGUAGGCGGUUUUCUAAGUCCAAGGUUUAAUCCCGAAGCUUAACUUCGGUGCGCCUUGGAAACUGGAUCACUUGAGUGUGGUAGAGGCAAAUGGAAUUUCUAGUGUAGCGGUAGAAUGCGUAGAUAUUAGAAGGAACACCAGUGGCGAAGGCGAUUUGCUGGGCCAUUACUGACGCUGAGACACGAAAGUGUGGGGAGCAAAUA
rnacentral:rRNA from 1 species